rnacentral:lncRNA from 1 species
UCCCUAGAGACGAAGAGUUCUCUAUAGCCAAAGGGACUACAUUCACAGGCAAAGCUAUCUUGGCAGCUAUACCAUCAGUGUUCCCUCAGAUUGAGUCUGUUCUAUUGGAUCCACAAUUGCCUUUUCCUCAUUUCAAGGCCAUACAAAAUCUUUAUGAAGAAGGUAUUGAGCUUCCUAAAGAUGCUGGUCUUUUACCUUUGCUUCCAAGACUCAUCAAAGCUGCUACUGAAGCUCGCGACGAUAUUCUCCAGUUCGAAGCACCAAUCCUCAUUAACAGUACCUACCUAUCUCUCCUUUUGAAUCUUCCAUUAUACUGUUUUGGUUGUGACUUGUGACUAAACUGACUUUUCUAAUAUCAUUCACAUUGGUUGAUUCAGGGGAUAGAUUUUCAUGGUUAAGAGACGACGAGUUUGCUCGCCAGACACUUGCGGGCCUUAAUCCUUACUGCAUUGAACUAGUUAAAGUAAGCUAUAAAUGCAUCUCAAUUAUUGAUAUAUUAUUUGUUUAACUCUUUUAGAGUAUGACUUGUUUUUUUAUUUUCAUAGUAAAACCUAUAAUUUAACACUAUUUUAAUUUGGCACCUUAGUAAAUUAUUGUUUCUUCCAUUUAAGUAAGAUAAAUGUUUAAGCUUUUUUUUAAUUAAAAAACAUAUAAUGUAUUAAAUAAACUAUUUAGAAACCUAGUAUACCCUUAUACUAUAAGUAAGUAUAUUUGUUUUAACUUUAAUAAUAACAAAUACAUGCAUUAAGAAAUGUUAUACAUAUUUUGAUUUGCAAAAAUCAAAGAAAAAAACCUUUGUAAAACAGAGUGAAUAUGAUUAAAAUAUAUUACUAUUUAUUUUAUCAACUAAAAAUAUCACUUUGACACAAUGCACAAAAAUUAAGAAAACAUUGAAGUAUACAUAUAUGCUCCUAUUUAAUAUGUGUUUAAUAAUUUAAUUAAUUUAAGAUUAAGGGUAAAAUUAGGAAUCUUUGUGUUAAAAAUGCAUUAGAAAUCUUAAGUGACAUUCUUUGUGAAACAAAAUUAAAACUCUAGAAUGACACUCUUUGUAAAAGAGAGAGAGUAUAAAAUAUUGGCAAUGAGUCUUAAAUAGGAUGUCAGUAAUUUUGUAUUGUUGUUACUUUCAGGAAUGGCCAAUGAAAAGCAAACUAGACCCGGCCAUUUAUGGUGAUCCCACCUCACUCAUUACUUGGGAAAUUGUGGAAAAAGAAGUUAAAGGAAACAUGUCAGUUGAUGAGG